rnacentral:rRNA from 1 species
GAUGAACGCUGGCGGCGUGCCUAAUACAUGCAAGUCGAGCGAACAGACGAGGAGCUUGCUCCUCUGACGUUAGCGGCGGACGGGUGAGUAACACGUGGAUAAUCUACCUAUAAGACUGGGAUAACUUCGGGAAACCGGAGCUAAUACCGGAUAAUAUAUUGAACCGCAUGGUUCAAUAGUGAAAGACGGUUUUGCUGUCACUUAUAGAUGGAUCCGCGCCGCAUUAGCUAGUUGGUAAGGUAACGGCUUACCAAGGCGACGAUGCGUAGCCGACCUGAGAGGGUGAUCGGCCACACUGGAACUGAGACACGGUCCAGACUCCUACGGGAGGCAGCAGUAGGGAAUCUUCCGCAAUGGGCGAAAGCCUGACGGAGCAACGCCGCGUGAGUGAUGAAGGUCUUCGGAUCGUAAAACUCUGUUAUUAGGGAAGAACAAAUGUGUAAGUAACUAUGCACGUCUUGACGGUACCUAAUCAGAAAGCCACGGCUAACUACGUG